GGGCAUGGACAAACAUGCUAGAAAAAAAUAUUUGGGAGUUAUCAGGGCCACCAGUCUUCAAGAUCAGACUGAGUUGGUAGUAUAAUACUCCAACAUAC